GGCUUCAUGGUCGAGUGGUAAGGACACUUGCCUCUUACACAGGAGUCCCAGGUUCGAUCCCCGGUUGAGGAGCUA
rnacentral:tRNA from 1 species